rnacentral:rRNA from 1 species
GCUUGGAUCCCGGGCUGGAUCACCUCCUUAAGCUUGGAUCCCGGGAGCUCCGAAUUCGUCGACAACAGAGUUUGAUCCUGGCUCAGAACGAACGCUGGCGGCAGGCUUAAUACAUGCAAGUCGAACGGUUGUAGCAAUACAGCAGUGGCAGACGGGUGAGUAACACGUGGGAACCUACCUAGGGGUACGGAAUAACUCAGGGAAACUUGUGCUAAUACCGUAUACGACCUCAGGGUGAAAGAUUUAUCGCCCCUAGAUGGGCCCGCGUUGGAUUAGCUAGUUGGUGAGGUAAAAGCUCACCAAGGCGACGAUCCAUAGCUGGUCUGAGAGGAUGAUCAGCCACACUGGGACUGAGACACGGCCCAUACUCCUACGGGAGGCAGCAGUAGGGAAUCUUGGACAAUGGGCGAAAGCCUGAUCCAGCCAUGCCGCGUGAGUGAUGAAGGCCUUANGGUUGUANAGCUCUUUCGCCAGGGAAGAUAAUGACGGUACCUGUAUAAGAAGCCCCGGCUAACUUCGUGCCAGCAGCCGCGGUAAUA